rnacentral:lncRNA from 1 species
GGGGACUUGGGAGCGCGCGCUGCCCCUCACUUGGCUGCAACUGGACCCAGAACUAGGGAAGAGGCCAGGGACAGAUUUUUUUUUUUUAUUUUUAUUUUUUUUGCCGAGGGACGUUUCAAAAUUUUGCACGGCCAGGGUGACAAAAAGAGGAUUUAAGAGCCACAAGCGGUCCGCACAUGACCCAGACUUCGUUCCUGUGCGGCUUCCAGAGGUGUUCAUGCAGAAGACUGGAUGCAGGACCCUUGGUGGCACCAGUGUGCAGAUGAGCAGAUAGUGACUGAUUGCCACUGGGAUGAAAUUUUUAAAAAAGAACCUUGAAGUCUGUGAGUGACCAAUCAAAGAUGAAAAUUAAUAAUGGAAGACCUGGGAUAUACAAUCAAGUCUAAAGCCUAGAUAUCUGGUUAUUUUAGAAAAGCUUCAUAGGCAAGUGUCAGUGGAGCUGUGUUAUUUGAGCUGAGCUGCACCUUGAAGAACCAAAAAAAUUAUAAAUGGACAAAUAAGACCAAGUGCCUACACCAAAAGAAUUCUAAUGCUUAGAAGAGUUGCAGAAUAAAAUAUGUUGCAUGGGAUGUCAAUAGUAAAGGUCAAGAUAGAGGACAAAGAAACACAGAGGAAGGAGGUUAAUGGAAUGAGAGAAGAAAGUAUUUUUAGAGGAAGUUGAUAUUUCACCUGAGUUGUAAAAGGCUAUAACAAAAUAUAAUAAACUGGGUACCUUAGAAGCAACGGAAAUUGAUUUCUCAUCGUUCUAGAAGCUAGGAAGUUCACGAUCAAGGUAGCAGCAGAGUUGGUGCCUGCUCUGGAGGCUGGAAAUCCAACAACAGAGUGCCAGCAUGAUCAGGUUCUGGAGAGGACCCUCUUCCUGUUUGCAGACUGCUGACUUCUUAUUGUAUAUUCCAAUGGUAGAAAGAGAGCAAGAGAACUCUCUGGAGUCUUUUUUUUAUAAGGGUGCUAACCCCAUUUAAGGAGGUUUCCCCUCAUAAUCUAAUUAUCUCUCAAAAGCCAUACCUUUCAACACCAUUGCAUUGAAGGUUAGGAUUUCAACAUGUGAAUUUGUAGUGGGGUGACGGGGAGAGGGACACACAAAUAUUUAGUCCAUAAUGCAUACUAACAAAAACUGGGGUAAAAGGUCACUGAAGUGAAUCCUUGCAGUAUUAAAGGACACGUUAUACUUCAUUUAUCCUUUUGGUCCAUAAAUAUUGAGCACACACUAUGAGCUAAAUUCUAGGUGCAUGUUAGAGCAUUGGUGGUACCACAAUAAAAUAGCCUUUUUCCCUAUCCUCAGGGAUUUUACAAUUUUGUGAAAGAGUUAUGCAGAUAGGCAGUUAACCUGCAGGUGGUGAUUGCUCACAAAGAGAAAAGCAGGGGGCUGUAAAAUUAGAGAAGCUAAGCUCACUUACCCUGUAUGGAGUUGGAUACAGAAUGUUUGCUAGAGGAAGUGGUGCCAAGUAGAUUUAGAUAAAGAAGAAGGUGGUGAUGAGAGGACGGAAGUGAUCGAAGGAAUGAAAGGUAGUAGAAAGGAAAUAGCACGCGAGAAGCUGUAGGAGAAAGGAGAAAGCGCACUUCCUGGCAAAAGGGAUAGCACACACAUAGGUUAGAGGUAAAAGGGCACAGCAAGGCUGCAGAGGCCUUGGGAGCUCAGCAUGAUUCGAAUGCAGUUGUACAGGAGGACUGGCACACACUCUGCUUCUUGGAGGUUACAGCAACUGCUACUCUCUGAGGGUUGUGUUACUUAUCUAUCUACUCAUCUAACAACAUGUCAUAACACACUGAGGGAAUUCCUCCAGACCUUUGAACAAAAAUGUUCUAACUUGAUUCAAAAUAAUUUAUACUCAACAUUCUUAGUAUCUUGCUUCAAAAAUAAAUGGACGAAGAAUAGUAUUCUGGCUACAGUUCCGUGUAACAAAUUGCCCAACUGUAGUGGCUUAAAAUGACAAUUAUUUUAUUAUGUUCACAUAAGUGUAGGUCAGGGGCUCAUAAAGGGCUAAGGGAGGAAGCUUUGCACACAUCUAUGGUGUGAGGCUACCUCCUAGACAAGACAAGUAAUGGACCACUUGGCUUGUUUAGUGACUGUGUGGUAAACAGGGGCAUGUGAGAGUUUGCUUAAAGGCAGACUUCCUCCUCUGGUCAGUUUGGUCCAGCCCAUUCAAUUGUGCCUUGCCUGGCCUUCCAGUUUCUGAAUUCCUACUUAACAUCUGAGAUGGCUUGACC